GGCUGGUUAGCUCAGUUGGUUAGAGCAGGGUGCUGAUAACACCAAGGUCCAGGGUUCGAUUCCUGUACCGGCCA